CCUUGAAUUUGCGCUCGUAGUCAUCGAGCUACCAUUGCUGAAAAAAUUUAAGGAUAGAAUCCUCUGAAGAACUUGAGGAUGGAGGAGUAGAAGGUGCAUGCAGCCUCUUCUCCUUCUUGAUGCUAUGAACACAAGAAGAAGAGGGAGAUCGCCACGAAUGGUGAGUGCCAUAAUAAGAAUGUCGAGAAAGUGAUGGUUCGACAUGAUGAG
rnacentral:lncRNA from 1 species